UAUGAUUGAGAGCCUACAAAGCACAAUAAUGACUGAACAAUUUGAUGUGCAGAUAGAGUGACCUGUAAACGGUACACCUCACAACCAGUUAACGCAGUAGUCAAUGCUAAGAAAUAGCCUCUCCUUUCUUCACCCAACGCAGAAAAACAAACAAAGUUUGCGAAAAACUGCACAGCCUGUUCAAGGUUAUCAUCGCCCAAUAAGUUCUCGUGUAAUUCAAC
rnacentral:lncRNA from 1 species